rnacentral:rRNA from 1 species
GAUGAACGCUGGCGGCGUGCCUAAUACAUGCAAGUCGAGCGAACGGACGAGAAGCUUGCUUCUCUGAUGUUAGCGGCGGACGGGUGAGUAACACGUGGAUAACCUACCUAUAGGACUGGGAUAACUUCGGGAAACCGGAGCUAAUACCGGAUAAUAUUUUGAACCGCAUGGUUCAAAAGUGAAAGACGGUCUUGCUGUCACUUAUAGAUGGAUCCGCGCUGCAUUAGCUAGUUGGUAAGGUAACGGCUUACCAAGGCAACGAUGCAUAGCCGACCUGAGAGGGUGAUCGGCCACACUGGAACUGAGACACGGUCCAGACUCCUACGGGAGGCAGCAGUAGGGAAUCUUCCGCAAUGGGCGAAAGCCUGACGGAGCAACGCCGCGUGAGUGAUGAAGGUCUUCGGAUCGCAAAACUCUGUUAUUAGGGAAGAACAUAUGUGUAAGUAACUGUGCACAUCUUGACGGUACCUAAUCAGAAAGCCACGGCUAACUACGUGCCAGCAGCCGCGGUAAUACGUAGGUGGCAAGCGUUAUCCGGAAUUAUUGGGCGUAAAGCGCGCGUAGGCGGUUUUUUAAGUCUGAUGUGAAAGCCCACGGCUCAACCGUGGAGGGUCAUUGGAAACUGGAAAACUUGAGUGCAGAAGAGGAAAGUGGAAUUCCAUGUGUAGCGGUGAAAUGCGCAGAGAUAUGGAGGAACACCAGUGGCGAAGGCGACUUUCUGGUCUGUAACUGACGCUGAUGUGCGAAAGCGUGGGGAUCAAACAGGAUUAGAUACCCUGGUAGUCCACGCCGUAAACGAUGAGUGCUAAGUGUUAGGGGGUUUCCGCCCCUUAGUGCUGCAGCUAACGCAUUAAGCACUCCGCCUGGGGAGUACGACCGCAAGGUUGAAACUCAAAGGAAUUGACGGGGACCCGCACAAGCGGUGGAGCAUGUGGUUUAAUUCGAAGCAACGCGAAGAACCUUACCAAAUCUUGACAUCCUUUGACAACUCUAGAGAUAGAGCCUUCCCCUUCGGGGGACAAAGUGACAGGUGGUGCAUGGUUGUCGUCAGCUCGUGUCGUGAGAUGUUGGGUUAAGUCCCGCAACGAGCGCAACCCUUAAGCUUAGUUGCCAUCAUUAAGUUGGGCACUCUAAGUUGACUGCCGGUGACAAACCGGAGGAAGGUGGGGAUGACGUCAAAUCAUCAUGCCCCUUAUGACUUGGGCUACACACGUGCUACAAUGGACAAUACAAAGGGCAGCGAAACCGCGAGGUCAAGCAAAUCCCAUAAAGUUGUUCUCAGUUCGGAUUGUAGUCUGCAACUCGACUACAUGAAGCUGGAAUCGCUAGUAAUCGUAGAUCAGCAUGCUACGGUGAAUACGUUCCCGGGUCU